rnacentral:lncRNA from 1 species
UUUUUUUUUUUGUAAGGAAGAGAGCAUGAAAUUCAGGCUACAAAAUUCAGGCUUCAUCAGUGCCCAGUAACAAGCACUAGUAUAGCUAAGUGCAGUGUGUUCGCUGUUCCACAUUGCAGUCUAGAUCAAAGAUUUCCAGCUGUGGAGUUACACAGUUCCCCUUGAAGCAUCACACAGCAGGCAGUCACUGUAGAUCAAGUGAUAAUGCUGUGUUGAGGUGGGUCAUGGGCUGAUUGUGUGCUUGAUGUCUCGGUAGGAGAUCAUUCCCAGAGGUGGGGAGAGUGACAUGACUGAGAUCCUGUUAGCUGGAGAGUGAAGGCAUAUGUGCAGUGGCUGGAGUAGAGUUGGUACUGAAGGCUGACAUGGGUGUACCCACACAAAUGAGGUCUGAGAUCCCCACCUGUACUGGAUUAACCAUACCCUGUGCUCUGCAGUGCCACAGCACUGACCAGAAUUACUGCUGCUCAAAGGUGCUUGUCAGUUCCCUGGGCUCCCUUUGCUGGCUUCUGAUCUUGGGAAAUUCAGGUAUCUGGAAAAAAAGAUUGUAGAAGUGAAGUGUAGUAGGAAGAGGCUGAGGCUCGAGGCUCUUCUGAAGAGAGUCACUUAGAGUUAAGAUAAAGCUAGAGACCCAGUACACAUCACAGCUGACUGAAAAUGUGAAUUGUGGGCACUUCUUUCUCUCAGUCACUGUGGUGAUUCCUGUUCUUCACUGUUUCCUUGUUCUGGCCACUUACAAAGCAGUUACUUGCAUGGCAGUUUGUUCUGUGAAAACCAGUCUAUUUCUCACAGGAAACAGCAGUAGGGGAUAAAACCUCAGGAAAAAAAGCUGUCAGGACAUUGCUUGGAGCAAUAAAAAUGGUUUAUAUUCUGACUACAAAAGCAAGAAUUGUAAUUUAAGUAUAAAUUGAAGCAUUCUGAAUAAAUAAAGUUGUCAACUUUUUCUUUGGUCAAACAAUAAUUUUCCGUAUCACAAAGGAGAAAUUCCUUUUAGUCUUGCUCUGAAUACUUGCUAUUCUUCAUGUUGUUAAUUGUGGUCAUAGUCACGCAGCACCAGCAAACUGUAGAAUGAAUGCACAGCAGCCAAGGAAAAGAAAUUGCACAUACUGUUUAUCAGGUAAAAUACUUUUUCUCAUCAGGUCUUAGGCUCCAAACUUAAGCCCAUUCCUGUAGAGGAAGGCGUUCUAAAAUACCAAAAUUGAGCAUGAGCUUAAACUAGUUUUCUGGAAAUGGGCUGCAUUUGAGGAAAGUGUUGGUUAUAUGCAUCAUCUGGGUUGGAGGGUUUGAAAUAAAAUAUUUGGUUUAGAUCCUUCUGACCUGUGUAUUGCUUUUAACAGUGACAGCUACAGUGACCUCAGUGAUGACAGCUCUCUAGAAAAAGAGUUUCCUAAUUCAGAAAAAGCUGAAAUGAUUGUAUGAGAGCACAGAAAUGGAUGAUGCUGUUGAGAAAGUUGGGAACAGUUCAAUUCUGAAGAGAAGAAAGUAGAAGAGUAAGCUGCUUGUGAUCCUCAUAGUGUCUCCACCUAUCAUGUCUCUUUACUGAUGACAGUUUCACUGUCUUGUAGCAAAAACUGUUCUGUAAAAAUGCUGUUUCUCUUUAAAAAUGACGAAAUGGUUGUGCACCUUAGCUGUUAAUCAUAACUGAUCUUGUCCUAUGUUUCAGAGUGGUCUCAGGUGAAUAUGUAUUAAUUCACUAGUUCACAACUGUUCUUGAUUUGAAGGAAGAUUUGAUUGUUUUCAAUUAGCCUUAGAACAGGAAGAUGCAGUGGUUCUUGUGAAGAAGAGGGAAUGCACUAAAAAAAUUUAAGGAAAAGUUGUCUUAUCCAUAAGCAGUAGAGAACUGUUUUGAGUUUGUUUUCCUAUUAAGCUUGUUGUAUAUAUAUAUUUUUUUACGUUUUUGCUCUUCAAUAUGUACAAAUAAGAAAUCAUCGCUGUAUUUCAGCUCUUUGUGAUUAUAAAAAUUGAUGUUGGAUA